CAAGUUGAACGAAGCGCUUAAAUGGAUUUCUUCGGAUUGAAGUUUUUGUGACUGAGUGGCGGACGGGUGAGUAACGCGUGGGUAACCUGCCUCAUACAGGGGGAUAACAGUUAGAAAUGACUGCUAAUACCGCAUAAGCGCACAGUGCUGCAUGGCACAGUGUGAAAAACUCCGGUGGUAUGAGAUGGACCCGCGUCUGAUUAGCUAGUUGGUGGGGUAACGGCCUACCAAGGCGACGAUCAGUAGCCGGCCUGAGAGGGUGAACGGCCACAUUGGGACUGAGACACGGCCCAAACUCCUACGGGAGGCAGCAGUGGGGAAUAUUGCACAAUGGGGGAAACCCUGAUGCAGCGACGCCGCGUGAGCGAAGAAGUAUUUCGGUAUGUAAAGCUCUAUCAGCAGGGAAGAAAAUGACGGUACCUGACUAAGAAGCACCGGCUAAAUACGUGCCAGCAGCCGCGGUAAUACGUAUGGUGCAAGCGUUAUCCGGAUUUACUGGGUGUAAAGGGAGCGUAGACGGUUGUGUAAGUCUGAUGUGAAAGCCCGGGGCUCAACCCCGGGACUGCAUUGGAAACUAUGUAACUAGAGUGUCGGAGAGGUAAGCGGAAUUCCUAGUGUAGCGGUGAAAUG
rnacentral:rRNA from 1 species